rnacentral:tRNA from 1 species
GGGCCCGUGGCCUAGCAGGAUAGGGCGCCGGCCUUCGGAGCCGGAGAUCCCGGGUUCAAAUCCCGGCGGGCCCGCCA